GCCCGGGUAGCAUAAUGGUUAUUGCACGUCAUUGGUAAUGACGAGGUUGCGAGUUCAACUCUCGCUCCGGGCU
rnacentral:tRNA from 1 species